UCCCUACGGGACGCAGCAGUGGGGAAUAUUGCACAAUGGGGGAAACCCUGAUGCAGCAACGCCGCGUGAAGGAAGACGGUUUUCGGAUUGUAAACUUCUGUUCUUAGUGAAGAAGUAUGACGGUAACUAAGGAGCAAGCCACGGCUAACUACGUGCCAGCAGCCGCGGUAAUACGUAGGUGGCAAGCGUUGUCCGGAAUUACUGGGUGUAAAGGGAGCGCAGGCGGGAAGCCAAGUCAGCUGUGAAAACUACGGGCUUAACUUGAAGACUGCAGUUGAAACUGGUUUUAUUGAGUGAGG
rnacentral:rRNA from 1 species